ensembl:lncRNA
CUUCAACAGCCAGUUUAUAGCUGAGAACACUUGAACUCCCCUCAGAGGCUUCAGAGUGAUGAAGGUCAACAGGAAAGGAUAUCAAGUGUCUCCCGGUGCCCCUGCUCUCCCACACCUUUAUUUAAUGGGGCACCUCAGAGCGAAGGAGGCGUCGUGACGCUUUUCAUUAACACUGAAUGUGACACAGAUUCACAGAUUCCUGGCUUCGUCAUCCGGGAUUUACGCACUUUUUGGGACGGGAAGAGAUUGACGACACAUUUUCUGGCACGCGUCUUUUGUGUAGCAGUGUGUGUUGUAGUGUGCCACUACGUUGUUUCCUAUUUCACCAUUGGAACUAAAGCAAAUAUCGGGCACUACGUUCCUGCGUUAUUGGUGCGUAAAGGCUCCGCAGCCUUAACAAGGCGUUCUGCGUUUCGUCAGUGAAAGCUGGAUUUUACCUUUGCUGAAUAAAACCACACGCCUGGCCAGCAUGGACCAAGCGGAGGACGUUACGACCACCAUGGUGACAGCUCUGCAGCCGGAUAGCGCCAUGAGCGCAAGCAACCCGCCCCUCAAUUCCAACCAUACCUCUGGCAUGGAGCACGUCUUUCAGUACUCUUAUUCCGAGAGUGACCCGCUGUACACAGACUCCCGGACACGAGACUCCAUCCCGCUGCCCAAAGCGGUUCUCUACCUGGUGAUGGCAGGGCUGGUGGUGGUCGUGGUAGCCUAUGCGAUAGUUGGGCACCUCGUCAAAGAUGUGGUUAAUGAGUUUGUUGGUGGAAGCAGGUCGAUGGUUGUUGAGGGUGACGCUGGUGAAACUAGUGAACAAGGCUGGGUGUGUGGCUCUCGCGGACUUACUAACUGCAAUAAUACCGAGAUAAACUGCAUAUCCAACAACAUUAACGUGAUGGGUGAGCUGGCCGAGAGACCCCGGCUGUUGGAAAUGAGCUACAUAUCCCUGAACCACACAAACUGCCUGAGCGCCGACAGACCGGAGGAUACAGCAGUCACCAUAGAUGAGACUUUACAGCGGCGACCACCGGACACCCACUCUGGGACUUAACCUGUGAUCUUCUGACCCAUCUCGAGAGAUAUAAAGCAGCGCGUUAGCUUGCAUUGCUUGCCCAAGUGGAUUUCACGAAUGGAAGCUCUCUCCACUGUUUUAUCACGUGCAGGUGGACUGUAAUACUUGUGUAAUGUUGGGCAAGAGAAGAAUUUAGAUAGUCUUUACUUGAAUGUUGGAGGAAUUGAAUGAUGAUGUUUGUAUCAUAUCGGCCUCUUUUCUGUGGAGAUUGCUAGUUUGAGCGGCUUCAGCUGUUUUUGGCCAAGGAGGCAGAGAGACUAACGUUUUUUGUGUUAAUGUGACAUAUGCAGUUCAGAGUAACAAAAAAACAACAAUUAAUCACUCUGAAUGUACAAUACACGCUGGUCACUGCUUACAGUUAUUGUAAUUAUUGUAAGAUUUGCGUCAAAACGCUUCCAAUGACACAGGAAGGCAUCAAAUGUUAACAACCUCGCCAUUUGUUAUGUAAUAACGCUGAAACUACUGCUACAUGACCAUAAAAUGGAAGCAUUUUGUAGUGUCAUGCUCCAGUUAAAACAGAGAAGCUGAAAGUAUUGGGGCCAUUGUAAAGAACAAAUUAAACGUAGUAACCUUUCUUGUUAAAUGUCUGAACACGGCAUCACCUUUGAAGCAGAACGUGUUCAUUGUUUGUUCAUGUUUAAUGUUUAAUAUUUCCUGCAAAAAUGGCUUCAUGCCAAAGCCUUUGUUUACCUUUCUUACCUCACCGUUAAGGGCUAUGUACUGUACUGUCCAUGAGUUUGUGACAUCACUACGCUACAACAAAUAGUUGCUUAUUGGUCUGUGCAUGCUGUGAUCAUUGUGCUCUGCGCACACUGCUUCUGUAAACUCUGUGUUUGGAAAGAUAAAGUGAACUAAAGUGGCUGAACAACACUGCUCUGAUCAACUGACGGCAGGAUAGAAUCACUACUUAAAGACUAAUUGGGAGCCUGUUCUAUGUUACUGAUGGACUACUUUCUCUCUCAGAUUUACACAUGUGCAUGUUUGAGGUGACACAGAGUAAAGUGAUGCUUUCAAGGGACCUAUUUUAAGUGUAUCAUAAAACAAUUAUGUAAUUGUAUAGCAGAGGUAAUUUUCAUAUUGAUGCCGUCAACCCCGUUUAAGUCAUCCAAUAAAUAGUCUUGAGCAAAGGUGGUGGAAAUCACUUCAUUAUUAUUUUCAUACCCGAUACCGACUCUGACCUCUGGGCAUGUGCACAUGCCUAAUAUCUAACAAUAAAUGAGUUAGUACACUGAAAAAAACUAAGGUCCAAUAGAAUAUCAGUAUUCACAGAGAGAGCAUUUAAC